UAGUGACCGAUAGUGAACCAGUACCGUGAGGGAAAGGUGAAAAGCACCCCGGAAGGGGAGUGAAAUAGAACCUGAAACCGUGUGCUUACAAGUAGUCAGAGCCCGUUAAUGGGUGAUGGCGUGCCUUUUGUAGAAUGAACCGGCGAUUUACGAUUUGAUGCAAGGUUAAGCAGUAAAUGUGGAGCCGUAGCGAAAGCGAGUCUGAAUAGGGCGUUUAGUAUUUGGUCGUAGACCCGAAACCAGGUGAUCUACCCUUGGUCAGGUUGAAGUUCAGGUAACACUGAAUGGAGGAC
rnacentral:rRNA from 1 species